rnacentral:lncRNA from 1 species
ACAUUUAUGUUUACUUCUCCCAUGGCUGAAUACUGUAUUUAGGACAGCAAAGAAUAAGUGAAGCCAAAACGCUGAUUUAGAAGCUUUGACCACACCAUCAGCUGCUCCAAACUGGCAGAGCUGAAAUAGGCUUCUCUUACCGCUGCUGAGGAUCUGGAUCCAGAAACGGAAAGGAAAAAGAAAUGGCUGAAGGAAAAGUUUUCUUUUGAGUGUGUUCAGCAGAUUUUGCCACAAGUUAAACCAUCAGGAUGCGUGGCCUGCAGUUACCAUGGCUGCCUUCAUAUUGUUUUCUGACCUGGAAGGGAAAGAUGCUAAUGAACCAUUCCAAGGUAUUUAAAAUCAGCCCUUGAAUGGUCACUUUUGCUUCAUCAUUCCUGUAGUUGCUGACGCUAAUUCACAAUUAUGAUUAAAAUCAACUGCAUUAAACCCUCAAAAAUUCCUUAGAAACUUCAGUGUUCUCUGCAAGUAAUUUUAUUAUGAUGUGAAGACCAAGAAGCCCAGUUGCAAAAAUAACACAAAUUCUGUUUUCUAUUUGAGCCCAACCAGAAGUGUAUUCCUGACUUGUG